UCCGGUGGCAAUAGCGGAAAGGAAACACCCGUUCCCAUCCCGAACACGGAAGUUAAGCUUUCCUGCGCCGAUGGUACUGCAGGGAAACCUGUGGGAGAGUAGGUCGCUGCCGGGA
rnacentral:rRNA from 1 species